CCACUGAUUGAAGAUAAAUAUCUUGAAUAAACACCUGGACUGUCAGUAGCUUUGUGUUUAUCAGGCCCAGAUUUCUGUCAAGGUCACAAAGGCCCAGGCCUAGGGUGGCAAGAUUUUAGGGGCAGCAUGCUAGCCGCAUUCUAAGCAGUACUGUGGAUGGGAAUGCGGUGGGAACUGGCGCAUGUAUGCGUGCACUUAGAGUUGGGGGUGCUUGCAAGGGCAGGCAGCAGGACCCUCUGGCCUUGGGGAGGCCAAACUGGAAAUAUGGGCCUGGUGUUCAUAGGUCCUCCUAUCUGUUUUUAGGCCUCACCAGCAGUGUAAGUUUUUGGAUCAGUACAGAUAGAUCAGCAACUAGACAGUUUUGGCAAACUGGUGUGUGGCGACCCUGAACAAGUGAUCAAAUCAAAACGAAUGAUCCAAAAUGGAAAACCAGGCUGUCCAAUAACUCUGCUGGUCUAUGGACAUAUUGUACCACCAAGACUGAUCUGUAUCUGGAAUUAAAAAGAAAACGUAACAAGAGUUCCCUUAUGGCCUGGAAGCUGGGCCAGCGCUCUUCAAACUGGCACACUCUGCAAAAUCUGGAGUAGGCACCUGUCCCCAAUGACAAAUCUGAUGUUGGCAGCCUUCACCAAUAGAAAAAAAGAACACAAACUAUCAUACAGCAGAAUACAUUCAGUUCAAGAGCCCACUUGCUGAAUAUGUAUGUUCCACACAUCCUGAAUAUGAAGUGGGGGGGCAUGUUACUUAUUUUAUAUGACUUCUCUUUUAGUGUUUUGGCUGUAUUAGCCUAAUAUAAAUGGAGUCUAUAGGAACGUAUUGGAAGGGUUACUGCCUGCUCUGCUUUCAUUCCCCUACAGAAAUAAGGAUUGAUAGCAUUAUAUGGGUGUCUAAUAUACAGAGUUAAAAAGAUGGUUCACCUUUAAUGUAACUUUUAGUAUGUUAUACAAUGGCCGAUUCUAAGCAACUUUUCUAUUGGCUUUCGUUAUUUAUUUUUUAAAGUUAUUUGCUUUUUUUCUU